rnacentral:lncRNA from 1 species
UACCUCCUGAAUAAGGAGAUUGCAUAGAAGAUGAGGUGUGGGUCAUUUUAAUUUGGGGAAACUUGUCAUACGCGUUUUGGUUUAUCGAACAACUUUCGUCACAAGCUAUAUAAGGUUAUGGGUUAGAUUUUGAGUUGUUUGAGUUCAAACAUGUCAUGCAAUAUUUUAUAUAAACUGAAAUUCUGAUAUCAUGGUGCCAUGAUACGAGUAUGAAGUAAAACUGAUCUAUCACUAGUUCACUACAGAUCGAUCAUAGCUGCUUAUGUCCAAGACAAUUAAACAAGAUAUACAUCUACAGAAACACUCUAUCUUGUUUGAGGAAUGCAAAUUACAUUUCUAUAUAUACUAGAAAGCCAAUAUGCAGAAGUUCAUGUAUAUCCUACGUAGAAAGGUUAGCUGGUUGAAUAAACCAAGUACUCAUCCUAUCUAGAGGUGGAGGCGGCAGAAGUGCCAGUAGCUGCCGGGUUUCAAGCAUUUGUGCCAUUGGCUGCGCCUGCUGAUGUAUUUGCCUUGAUGCCACGGGCGGCAGCUGCCCUCCUUAAAGCUUCGGGGCUACCUAACAUACAAGAAUCCUUGAGAACAGCUCUUGCUUUCCAGUCGACACCAGGCACACCAGGGUGAGGUCUAUCCUCACCACAACACAGACAGAGUAUUUCAGCAAAAGGGCCAACAGUUGCACCCACUGGAAGUUCAAUCUGGUAUGGGCAUGCUGAAGAGCAGUAGUCUUUCGACAAACAAACAUGACAAUACCGGUCAUCAGGGUGGAAAGCCCUAAAUGUUCCACCCUUGAGUCUUGCUUCUUUUAGCCAUUCCUUGAGCUCAGGAGUGAGGUUGGGGCACUGAAAGGUCGGGUGCCAAUCUGGAUUAGGACACAUCUUACAAGCCAAAGCAAAUUCACCUAUUUUAAUGUAAUUAGCCAAUGCUGGUCCUUCCGCCUUUUCCCCUUUCACUUUUGUUUUCUCAUUCUCCUUCAUAUAAUCUUCGGGGGCCACAAUAACCAUAUCUCUGUUUGGAUCAUCUUUGGGUAGAUCUUGCCAACGGAGGAUGACCGGCUUAUCAUCUUUGGGUAAAUCUUUCCAACGGCGGAUGACCGGCGGCGCAAAUGGCGGUUCUUUAGCUUUCUUGACCUUCCCGGAUGAUCUCCCCAUGGCUGUGUGCAGUUAGGAUUCGGCUUCGCUCUUAAACUUUCUUUCUCAGAUCCUUCUCAAAGUAAUGGUUUGGUAAUACUAUGUGAGAUAUGUAUAGAGAUGCUAACAUAAUCCUAAUAGGAAAAGAUCCAGAGAUACUAACAUAAUCCUAAUAGGAAAAGGAAAAGAUCUCCUACGUACAAUUCUACAUAAUAUAUAUCCUACACACACAAGGAAAGUAAGUACAUAAUAUAUAUCCUCUACACACAAGGAAAGUAAGUAUAUACAAUAUAUUUUACACUCACCCUCAGUGUCAUCGUCGACAGUUGACGGAGGUGAGAAAUCCGACUAGGUCGGAUUAUCCAGAUACGGUUGGGUCAAACGGGUUUCGUCUACACCGGAAGGUAAAAAGAAUUUAAUUAUCAUAGGUAAUUUUCGCAAAGUUUGGUGUGAUGCAAGUUUUUUUCAUGGUUUAUUAGAGGUCAAUAAACUGAUUAUUAGAGGUCGUUAACCUAAUUAAUAGGGGUCCAAAAGCAUGAAUAAAGUUUAUUGAACAUGAAUAAAGCCUUCACCGAGGAUCCAGUUAGGUUCCAGCGAAAUUAUUGAUGCGGCUCAAAGCCUCUCUGGACUCAAACACACAAGACAACAUGAGAAGAAGAUAGUGAUGCCCUGGCGGCUGCCAAUACUUAUAAUAUAUGAAUGAUCAAAAGACCCCUUACAAGAGCCAAUACAUCUUUUAAAUAGAGAACAAAACCUAGCUAGUCCUUAAAAGGAAGUAAGCAACAACAUUAAAACUACCACAACUUAAUAGGUACGUAAAUAACCAAAGCAUAAUAUAAUAAGGAAUCAUCUUUUGGACCAAACCUAGUCCUUAAGAUACUCUGGCGCCUGUGCAUUCCUCUUGGCCCUUGGUUCAUCACCAGGCAUAGCUCCCGCAUCAAUUAUGGUGACGACCGGAGAAAUUUCGGCAACCGAAGAAAGUUCUGGCAAAAUCUUCACUCUUCCACUUUUUCUCUCCAUAUACAUGUUUAAUAGGUAAGGGUCAAAUAACCUCAUCAAAAUAAACAAAAGAAUAAUUUUUCUUUUUUGACUAGUUAAAAAUUGUUGAUUUUGUUUGAGCCCAACAGAUAUUUUGGUCCAUGACUAGAUUAAUAAAGUCUUGGAUAUCAUUUGGGUCAAUACAUGUGGCUCUAGAAAUAAAGCCUUUUUGGAUAUGAACCCUAGAGACACGCGAGAGGUGGGUUCCUAAGCGAACUGUAACACUUCGCGGGAUAAGGAAGUCUUCAGUGUUUGAGUCCGCCUCGGAGAAUGAGAAGUUUUCAAUAAGCGAAGGGUCAGUACAUGUGACCUAAGCGAAGUCUACCUAUGUAAUUGGACAGGCGUCACCCAGUUACUUAGUUUGCAAGCAAAACGAAUCCUUGUAUAACUUUGGUAGCAGAAUCCUACUUAGGUUGUGGGAUUGCAUCCUUAUCAGUUAAUUACAAGCCCCUAUAUAAGGAGGGUUCGAGGAUCAGUCCAAACACAUAAUCAUCUCAUACAAACAACUACAAACCUUCGAUCUAAUCGAAACCGAGACGCUAAAGCACCUCGCCUUAGCCUUACAGAGCUCGUUUGGUCUCGCCUUGCUUACUAUCCCAAUUGUUGCUCUGCUCGCCCGCCGAGUAUUGAUCGAUUGCAAACGGAUAAGAGGAUUGCUUGUAAUCCUCGUCCGCAAGGUGGCACCGGAAGCCCCUGUCGUUUGAUUAGAAGUCUAGUACCGGUGCACUUUGCAUUCCGCGUCCGCAUGGUGGCACGCCCCACACCCUUCCUUUUAUAUUUGGACUUGCCAAGUUACCCCUCUACCCCUGCUGAGGAUCGUGGCCAAAACAUAUUUAGGCACAAAUAAAGUUAGAUUACAUUCAAAUGAGAUGAAUUUUAUAGUGUCAUUAUUUUUGAAUCAAGAAAAAUAUCAUUGAUGACUACCAAAGCAGUAGGAGUACAAAUGUAGAGUUACAAGCAAAUCAACAACUAAAGUAAAAUUCUUGCGUACAUAUAUAGGGCAAAUAAGAAUAAAGUGAUUUGCAAGGGACCACAUCCUCGUUACACAAUUCAUGCUCACCUAACUAAGCAAGCCUAUAGUAGGCAAAAAACUUACAGGAAAAUCAAUAACUAAACUGAAAUUCAACCAUGCCACAUAGGGCAGAUUUAUUUGCAAAAGUAAAUAUAACGAGAAAUUUUUAGAUGCUACAGGAGGAUCACGUGACAGUAUGAUGUGGUCCUACAAUCCAAUCAAAUAUUGACAUGUGGAUUUAUUACAACUAAAAUAUAAACUAAGGUUUUCUAUUUUUUGUGAAAUGACCUUCAUGGGUCUUUGUUGAGUUUGGACUUUGUUGAUUUUGGACUAGGAUUUAGGGGUUAGGGUUUAGGGGUUAGGGUUUAGGGUUUAGGGUUGAAGGUUUAGAGUUAAAGGUCUAGGGUUUAGAGUUUAUGGUUUAGGGUUUAAAAAGCAACAACAAACCCAAAAUUGUCUUUGAUAAAAUAGCUGAUCUAAUUUUUCCGUAAUAAAAUCUAUGUGUUAAUAUUUGAUUGGAAUGUAGGAACACGUCAUACUGCCACAUAGUCCUCCCGUAACGCUAAAAAAUUUCUCAUAAUAUAACCUAUUAUUUAUGGAAAAUAGAGCAUAGCUAUUUAUUCUAAGAAUAAUAAAAGCCAUGAGUCUAAACUCAGAUUUUCUCCUUUGCCCUUAGAAGUAGGACAAGGAGGUGCAGGCACUGAAACAAACUCGAGUGGAGGUACCUCUGAUUGUCCGACUUCUUAUCCUUGCUUUCAAUCGGACGGCCAGUCUUUCUUUUCCUCACAUAGGUCACUGGACCUUCCACUGGGACAUCUACCAGCUCACCAAUGUGAAAGAGAAAAGUUCCCAAUCCGGCCCAAAAACCCCCCCGAUCAAUUGAUUUUUUGAAGAAGAUUUGGGCCCAGCAGCCAGCCCUUUAGAAACCAAGUCCAACCCAGCAGAAAAAUGCAUCCCCACCUCCGGCCCAUGAUCCUCAGGCCCAGUCAAUGCCAAAUCCUGAUUCUCAGCGGUCAACCCUAAUUUGAGAUUAGGUUUCCCGCCGAAGAAUCCGAGCAUAGCUCGACUUCCUCUGGCGCUGCCGUUUGACCCGUUUCGAUGUCGUCCAUCCUCACCUCAGAUCUUGCCGCAUUCCUCCCAGGUUCAUCGACCUCCAACACCUCCUCAUCUCCGAGUUCAUAUCCAACACCACUAAAGGCAGAGUUGCCAUGACAGCAACCUCCAAACCCUUAUCACACACACCGCCGCCAUGUCCAAAGAAACCACAUGCCCCGCAGACGCCGUGACAUUUCUCAAAGCGAAACUCCAAGUUCGGCGCCUCCAAAUUCACCGACGAACAUCAUGGAUUAGGAGGAUCUUUUGGAUGUGCUCCUUACGCAGAAGGGCACCUUGCUCCGCCCUAACGAACUGCCCCAACGCGUUUCCAAUUCGGGUUAGUCACAUAUCAUUUGGUUGGUCACUACAAGCGAAACGAGGUCUUGGUCUAUGGAAACGAAUAUUUAUCUCCUUACGUUAUCUUGUUUAUCUGUUGUUACCCCGAUAACAGGUUCCGUCAACAGCAUUACAAUCCCCAGAGAAAGAAAAAUGUGACGUUGGUUUCUGGUCAACCUAAAAGCAAACUAACGGAGUAACAACUCUUUAUCGUUAACGGAUCAAAUCAUCAAUCCAAACUCAUCCAGACUAGAACUAGAACAGAACCGCAAAGCAUUUUGGUCCAAAGAAGAUCACCAAAGCGACAUACGCAAACCGUGUAUGAGGAUGAGCACCUGCUGCAUCAGACUAAUCAAAAGAAAUGGGACGACAGAGAUGAUAAGAGCAAACUGAACUAUAUAGCAUCCAACCAACUACACAUCAUAUCUGCAUUUGUCCUAGACAAUUAAACAAGGAUAUACAUCAAUAUAAUAACUCUAACUUGUUUGUUCCGAAUUACAUUUCUAUUCCAGAGAGCCCAUCUGCAAAGGUACAGGCAAAUCAGACUCUAAUGUAUCCUACGCAGAAAGGCUGGUUGAAGAAACCAAGUACUCAUCAGAUGUGGAGGUGGAGGUGGCAGUGCCAGCAGUUGUGGCUUUUGAAGCACUUGCCUUCAGGACAGUGCCACUGGCUGCUGCAGAUGUAUUUGCCUUGAUGCCGCGGGCGGCAGCUGCCCUUCUUAAAGCUUCAGGGCUACCUAACAUACAAGAAUCCUUGAGAACAACUCUUGCUUUCCAGUCGACACCAGGCACACCAGGGUGAGGUCUAUCCUCACCACAACACAGACAGAGUAUUUCAGCAAAAGGGCCAAUUGUUGCACCUACUGGAAGUUCAAUCUGGUACGGGCAUGCUGAAGACCAGUGGUCUUUCGACAAACAAACGUGACAAUACCGGUCAUCAGGGUGGAAAGCCCUAAAUGUUCCACCUUUGAGUCUUGCUUCUUUUAGCCAUUCCUUGAGCUCUGUGGUAAAAAUGAAAAGUUAGCGGUGACCACAUGACAACAAACAAUACAUAAUUCAUGCAUCAGUAAUUAUCCUAAUAAGAAGAUAAAAAAUGAACCAUAUCGUUGAUAAAACUAAAAAUCAAGAGACUGCAGAUUAAAUGGGAAGGCAUAGUUGACCCAAACAACAUUGGUAACGCAAGGGACUGGAGGUGUGAGGUGAGGUGUAAGUACGCACAGCUAGAUUCUUCCUUGCCACACAAACUCACAUCCAUGAAUGAAGUUAUGAAAACAUAUAUGAUAUAUCAGAACACAAUGCUAGAAAGAAUAUAUUAAGGAUUUAAGGUAAGUUAUACUUUACGAAAUUGUUUAAUAAACAUUCUACAGCUAAUAGAAUUUGAAUCAAAGCUCAACGUGUUCAGAUAGCGGAGCUUGCAUAGCUAACCCGAGGAAUAUUCCCAAAAACUAAACAAACAUUUGUCCAGAAUAAACUCAUUGAAAGGAUUCAAAAUAAAGAAGAGAGAAUUCCGAAACACACAAACAGCAGGCAGCAAGCAAAGUAAAAUUUAAUUACAUUAUCAAAAAUGAAAAGCAGAGUACAUACCAGGAGUGAGGUUGGGGCACUGAAAGGUCGGGUGCCAAUCUGGAUUAGGACACAUCUUACAGGCCAGAGCAAAAUCACCUAUUUGAUGUAAUUAGCCAAUGGUUUUUCACUCUCCUUCUCUGUUAAAUAAUCAGUAAAGAAAUCAAACUAUGGCGCCUGCAAGAUCUA